CCCUUAGAUAUUCUGGGCUGCACGCGCGCUACACUGAUGCGUUCAAUGAGUUUAUGACCUUGCCCGAUAGGGUUGGGUAACUUUUUUAAUCGCAUCGUGACGGGGAUAGAAUAUUGUAAUUAUUGCUCUUCAACGAGGAAUUCCUAGUAAGCGCGAGUCAGCAGCUCGCGCUGAUUACGUCCCUGCCCUUUAUACACACCGCCCGUCGCUCCUACCGAUGGGGUGAUCCGGUGAAUGAUUCGGACUGCGGCAUUGACCGGUUCCCGAUCGUUGCUGCGGAAAGUUUAGUGAACCUUAUCACUUAGAGGAAGGAGAAGUCGUANCA
rnacentral:rRNA from 1 species